GCCCACACUGGGAUUGAGAUACGGCCCAGACUCCUACGGGAGGCAGCAGUCGAGAAUAGUCUACAAUGGGGGAAACCCUGAUAGUGCGACGCCGCGUGGAUGAAGAAGCAUUUCGGUGUGUAAAAUCCUUUUCUGUAUGAGCAAGUCCCAUUAGGAAAAUAUCUUAUUGGGUUAGAUAUUAGUACAGGAAUAAGCCACGGCUAACUCCGUGCCAGCAGCCGCGGUAAUGCGGAGGUGGCGAGCGUUGUCCGGAAUUACUAGGCGUAAAGGGUAAGUAGGCGGAUUUAUAAGUCAGAUGUUAAAGGCAUGGGCUCAACCGAUGUAUUGCAUUUGAUACUGUAAAUCUAGAGUAAGGGAGAGGAAGGCAGAAUUCCUGGUGUAGCGGUGGAAUGCGCAGAUAUCAGGAAGAAUACCGAUGGCGCAGGCAGCCUUCUAGACCAUUACUGACGCUCAAUUACGAAGGUGUGGGUAUCGAACAGGAUUAGAUACCCUGGUAGUCCACACAGUAAACGAUAUGCACUAGGUGUUGGGGGAGAGAAUCUUUCAGUGCCGUAGUUAACGCGUUAAGUGCAUCGCCUGGGGAGUACGAUCGCAAGGUUUAAACUCAAAGGAAUUGACGGGGGCCCGCACAAGCGGUGGAGCAUGUGGUUUAAUUCGAUGCAACGCGAAGAACCUUACCUGGACUUGACAUCCCAAGGAUCAUUCAGAGAUGAAUGAGUGCCUUUCGGGGAACUUGGAGACAGGUGCUGCAUGGCUGUCGUCAGCUCGUGUCGUGAGAUGUUGGGUUAAGUCCCGCAACGAGCGCAACCCCUAUCCUUAGUUACCAUCAUUAAGUUGGGGACUCUAGAGAGACUGCCAGUGUAAUAAACUGGAGGAAGGUGGGGACGACGUCAAGUCAUCAUGGUCCUUAUGUCCAGGGCUACACACGUGCUACAAUGGUCGGGAUAAUGGGUCGCAAUACCGCGAGGUGGAGCCAAUCCCAAAAACCCGAUCUCAGUUCGGAUUGGAGUCUGCAACUCGACUCCAUGAAGUUGGAAUCGCUAGUAAUCGCGUAUCAGCAUGACGCGGUGAAUACGUUCCCGGGCCUUGUACACACCGCCCGUCAAGUCAGCCGAGUUGAUUGCACCCGAAGAAGGUGAGCUAACCGUAAGGAUGUAGCUUUCGAAAGUGUGGUUAGCGAGGGGGACUAAGUCGAAACAAGGUA
rnacentral:rRNA from 1 species